AGGACGAACGCUGGCGGCGUGCUUAACACAUGCAAGUCGAACGGAAAGGCCCUUCGGGGUACUCGAGUGGCGAACGGGUGAGUAACACGUGGGUGAUCUGCCCUGCACUUCGGGAUAAGCCUGGGAAACUGGGUCUAAUACCGGAUAUGACCAUGGGAUGCAUGUCUUGUGGUGGAAAGCUUUUGCGGUGUGGGAUGGGCCCGCGGCCUAUCAGCUUGUUGGUGGGGUGAUGGCCUACCAAGGCGACGACGGGUAGCCGGCCUGAGAGGGUGUCCGGCCACACUGGGACUGAGAUACGGCCCAGACUCCUACGGGAGGCAGCAGUGGGGAAUAUUGCACAAUGGGCGCAAGCCUGAUGCAGCGACGCCGCGUGGGGAUGACGGCCUUCGGGUUGUAACCCGUUUCAGUAGGACGAAGCGCAAGUGACGGUACCUACAGAAGAAGGACCGGCCAACUACGCGCCAGCAGCCGCGGUAA
rnacentral:rRNA from 1 species